UACGUAGGGUGCGAGCGUUAAUCGGAAUUACUGGGCGUAAAGCGUGCGCAGGCGGUUUUGCAAGACAGAGGUGAAAUCCCCGGGCUUAACCUGGGAAUGGCCUUUGUGACUGCACGGCUAGAGUGUGUCAGAGGGGGGUAGAAUUCCACGUGUAGCAGUGAAAUGCGUAGAGAUGUGGAGGAAUACCGAUGGCGAAGGCAGCCCCCUGGGAUAACACUGACGCUCAUGCACGAAAGCGUGGGGAGCAAACAGG
rnacentral:rRNA from 1 species